GACAGAGGUGCCGAGCGUAGGCGGAAUCACUGGGCUUAAAGCGUGUGUAGGCGGAGUGCUAAGUACCUUGUGAAAUCCCACGGCUUAACCGUGGAACUGCUUGGUAUACUGGUUCUCUUGGGUCAUCUAGGGGCGAGCGGAACAAACGGUGGAGCGGUGAAAUGCGUAGAUAUCGUUUGGAACGCCAAUGGUGAAAACAGCUCGCUGGGGAUGCACCGACGCUGAGACACGAAAGCCAGGGGAGCGAACGGG
rnacentral:rRNA from 1 species